rnacentral:lncRNA from 1 species
CAGUAUAACUAGGAAGUGACUCCUAGGUCGUCUCUCAAGGACCAAAUUGCGGUUCAGAGAUUUAGGUCAAACACACACAGUGGGGGGGUUUGGUGAAAAGUUUUGUUUGUGAAUGCGACCGGCNGAAUUAAAAAUAAAAAUUAAACACAACCUAAUUUAAUUUAAAACAUUAAAGUGCAUGAAAAUAUUAAACUGAUCAAUGCAACAGACAAAUAUCUAAACACAAUUAAAACUAUUAAAAUGCAAAACUUAAUUAAAAAGAUGAAAAAUAAUUAAACAUGUAAUGUAAAUUAUUCUAAGGCAAAAGAAAUAAAAAAAAAAACAAAAUAUUUCUACUUUCUCACAUGACCAUGAGCUCAACUUAAAAUAAAA